UGGGGAAUAUUGCGCAAUGGGGGGAACCCUGACGCAGCCACGCCGCGUGAAUGAAGAAGGCCUUCGGGCUGUAAAGUUCUUUCGGUAUUGAGGAAGGUUGAUGUGUUAAUAGCACAUCAAAUUGACGUUAAAUACAGAAGAAGCGCCGGCUAACUCCGUGCCAGCAGCCGCGGUAAUACGGAGGGUGCGAGCGUUAAUCGGAAUAACUGGGCGUAAAGGGCACGCAGGCGGUUAUUUAAGUGAGGUGUGAAAGCCCCGGGCUUAACCUGGGAAUUGCAUUUCAGACUGGGUAACUAGGGUACUUUAGGGAGGGGUAGAAUUCCACGUGUAGCGGUGAAAUGCGUAGAGAUGUGGAGGAAUACCGAAGGCGAAGGCAGCCCCUUGGGAAUGUACUGACGCUCAUGUGCGAAAGCGUGGGGAGCAAACAGGAUUAGAUACCCUGGUAGUCCACGCUGUAAACGCUGUCGAUUUGGGGGUUGGGGUUUAACUCUGGCGCCCGUAGUUAACGUGAUAAAUCGACCGCCUGGGGAGUACGGCCGCAAGGUUA
rnacentral:rRNA from 1 species